GCAUUCUUAUUUAAUUUCCUUUCAUUACAGGUUAGCGGAAAAUUCGUUGAAGAUACAGAACUGAGGAGAAAUAUGCAAUUUAAGGACAUGUUUUGCAGGAUGUUGGUGUGGCAUCUGCGCCACGCAAUUGCUCUUUAUUUAUGCAAUGGCGUCAGGAGAUGGAGACGGCAUCAUAAAAUUGUCGGUUUUUUGUAUCUAUAAUCGCAAAAGUUGGCGAUUUUGUUUUGCUAUAGUGAGGCCCGUCUCCUGAUUUACGUGCGCAUCAUCGGCAGGAUGAGGGCGAAUUUUUGUAUCUGCUGGAUUGCCUGUCAGGUUGUCGGGAAGUCAUUGAGAAAACGGUAUUGCGGAGAUUUAUUUUUUUUUUUUUUUUUUUUUAAAUAUUCUCAGCGCCUGUUGGUGCUGUCAUUUUAUUGUACUCUGAUUUUGUUUUAAAAUAUAUAGUUACAAUUUAUGGCAUUUUACAGUUUUGGAUCGGCGGCGAUUGUGCGCACCAUGGUUAUGAGAGCUAUUUAAGAAUUUCAAUUUCGAGGAAAAUUUUUGAUUUGCUUGGCGGCAGUUAUACGCGCCAUGAUUUAAAUUGGAAUCUAAGAUUUAGGAUUUUACGUUAAGUUAGCCUUAGCUUAUGGUAGUUACAAUUUUUAUAGGUACUAGUAGUUUAGGUAGUAGUUUUAAGUUUAAGUAAUAUAGUAAGAAGAAAA